AGUUUGUAUACCGCUGUUGUCAGUCAGUUUCUUUAGAAAACUUUCUAUCAUGAAAAAAUCAUAGACUUCAAGUAAAGGUGCAGCUUAUGUAAAAGAUAGAGGUGGGUUACAUUUAUAAGAUUUUAACGGAUAAAGUUUAUGAAAUAACUUUUUAAGUUGGAUUUAAUUGUAAAGUUUAAAAAAACUUGAUGAGAGCUCUAUCUUGUGUACAC
rnacentral:rRNA from 1 species